CAGUCGCCGCGGUAAUACGAAGGGUGCAAGCGUUACUCGGAAUUACUGGGCGUAAAGCGUGCGUAGGUGGUGGUUUAAGUCCGUUGUGAAAGCCCUGGGCUCAACCUGGGAAUUGCAGUGGAUACUGGAUAACUAGAGUGUGGUAGAGGAUAGUGGAAUUUCCGGUGUAGCAGUGAAAUGCGUAGAGAUCGGAAGGAACAUCUGUGGCGAAGGCGACUAUCUGGGCCAACACUGACACUGAUGCACGAAAGCGUGGGGAGCAAACAGGAUUAGAUACCCCAGUAGUCCCUGUCUCUUAUAC
rnacentral:rRNA from 1 species